UUUUCAUUGGAUAUAAUAAAAUAUGCCAUUAAUGUGUGCAAAUCAUAUAGGCCUAAAUGAAAUCCAAGGGAGUACAGUUACUGGUAUAUGUAGCCCUACUCAAUGUGAUUAAAUUCUAAGAAAUAUAUACAAUUGAAAUUCAUCGCAGCUCAAUGCUGCCGAAAAUACCUGUAUCGAGUAACACAGAGUGAGUUAUUCUUGUCCUCGGAGAAAGUGUGCUUAUACUGAGAUUUGUUCCGCCUGACUGACAACUAUACAUAGGAUUGUUACGAUUUGAUCUCUCUCUAGUGUUUCUUAUAUCAAGAAUGGGAAUGCAUAAAGGAUAGAUAAUUGAAGGAAAAUACACAAACCUAUAAAA